rnacentral:lncRNA from 12 species
CAAGAAAUAGGUGCUUGUGGUUUGCAGGACCCAAAAAGAGGGUGUUGGGGCUGGAAGCUUCCCACUGGGAUCAUCCCCAACAAGGAACAGCACAAGCUCUGCUGGUUUGUCUGUGCCUAUUUCUCCUGGUGCUGGAGGGGAAGCACAAGAUAAUUCUGGAAAAAUCCCAGAGAAAUGCCUUAGAGCUGUUUUCUUCAAUCGUUUUGGAAUGUGAGCUGAAACAAAGCCAUCCAGGCUGAAGCAGAGGGAUAAACUCCCCAUUUCCCCAGCGCAAUGAACGCCAGUUCAAACAGAAAUGAAAUCAUCUCUCACCAGACAAGUCCCACAGAUGUUGUGCCACAGAUUUUCUGCUGCCUCCCGAGCAAGAAG